rfam:Ascoidea rubescens DSM 1968 unplaced genomic scaffold ASCRTscaffold_10, whole genome shotgun sequence.
GGUUGUAUGGCCGAGAGGUCUAAGGCGUCCGACUCAAGUUCUAAGUAACUUUCACUUAAGAGAGUGAGUAAUCGGAUCUCGAAAGAGGCAGGAGUUCGAACCUCCUUGCAACCA